rnacentral:rRNA from 1 species
GUGAGGAAUAUUGCGCAAUGGGGGAAACCCUGACGCAGCGAUGCCGCGUGGGUGAAGAAGGCCUUCGGGUCGUAAAGCCCUGUCAAGCGGGAAGAAUAGUCGUAGGGCUAAUAUCCUUACGGCAUGACGGUACCGCUGAAGGAAGCACCGGCUAACUCCGUGCCAGCAGCCGCGGUAAGACGGAGGGUGCGAGCGUUAUUCGGAAUUAUUGGGCGUAAAGGGUGUGCAGGCGGCCGAUCAAGUCAGAUGUGAAAGCCCAGGGCUUAACCCUGGAAGUGCAUUUGAAACUGGUUGGCUUGAGUUCGGGAGAGGAAAGCGGAAUUCCGGGUGUAGAGGUGAAAUUCGUAGAUAUCCGGAGGAACACCGGUGGCGAAGGCGGCUUUCUGGACCGAAACUGACGCUGAGACACGAAAGCGUGGGGAGCAAACAGGAUUAGAUACCCUAGUAGUCC